rnacentral:rRNA from 1 species
GACGAACGCUGGCGGCGUGCUUAACACAUGCAAGUCGAACGGAAAGGCCCUGCUUUUGUGGGGUGCUCGAGUGGCGAACGGGUGAGUAACACGUGAGUAACCUGCCCUUGACUUUGGUAUAACUUCAGGAAACUGGGGCUAAUACCGGAUAGGAGCUCCUGCUGCAUGGUGGGGGUUGGAAAGUUUCGGCGGUUGGGGAUGGACUCGCGGCUUAUCAGCUUGUUGGUGGGGUAGUGGCUUACCAAGGCUUUGACGGGUAGCCGGCCUGAGAGGGUGACCGGCGACAUUGGGACUGAGAUACGGCCCAGACUCCUACGGGAGGCAGCAGUGGGGAAUAUUGCACAAUGGGCGGAAGCCUGAUGCAGCAACGCCGCGUGCGGGAUGACGGCCUUCGGGUUGUAAACCGCUUUCGCCUGUGACGAAGCGUGAGUGACGGUAAUGGGUAAAGAAGCACCGGCUAACUACGUG